GGGGUAUAGAAUGAUUCUGAGAUGUACAUGUCUGUCUGGCAGGUAUCACCUGACCUUGACCUCAUUUUUAUGUUUCAUUGGUCAAUGUUAAGCUUUUGUUUUUGGUCUGUUUUUCGGUAAUUUAAGCAAUAGGUCAAAUAUAUUUGGUAUGGAAUGAUUGUAAUGGGUACAUGUCAGUCUGGCAAGUUUCAUCUGACCUUGACCUCAUUUCUAUGGUUCAUUGGCCAAUAAUAAGUUUUUUGUCGUUUGUUCUGUUAUUCAAGUACUAUAAGCAAUAGGUCAAUUGUAUUUGGUGUAUGGAAAGAUUGUUAGGUGUAUGUAUGUCUGUAUGUCAGAUAUCAUCUAAAUUUGACCUCAUUUUCAUGGAUCAUUGGUCAAUAUUAAGUUUUUUGUUUUUUUUUUUGGUCCGUUUUUCAAUUAUCAUAAGCAAUAUGUCAACUAUAUUUUCUGUAUAAAAAUGGUGUAUAUAUGUCUGUCUAACAGCGUUUAUCUGACCUGAGUUUCUGUCAUGCUUUUAGCUAAGCCUUUAUCUUUAAGACUUUCAGCAUAAAAUC
rnacentral:lncRNA from 1 species